rnacentral:rRNA from 1 species
CCUACGUGAGUCAGCAGUGAGGAAUAUUGGUCAAUGGGCGCGAGCCUGAACCAGCCAAGUAGCGUGAAGGAUGACUGCCCUACGGGUUGUAAACUUCUUUUAUAAAGGAAUAAAGUGAGGCACGUGUGCCUUUUUGUAUGUACUUUAUGAAUAAGGAUCGGCUAACUCCGUGCCAGCAGCCGCGGUAAUACGGAGGAUCCGAGCGUUAUCCGGAUUUAUUGGGUUUAAAGGGAGCGUAGAUGGGUUGUUAAGUCAGUUGUGAGAGUUUGCGGCUCAACCGUAAAAUUGCAAUUGAUACUGGCAGUCUUGAGUACAGUUGAGGUAGGCGGAAUUCGUGGUGUAGCGGUGAAAUGCUUAGAUAUCACGAAGAACUCCGAUUGCGAAGGCAGCUUACUAAACUGCCACUGACAUUGAUGCUCGAAAGUGUGGGUAUCAAACAGGAUUAGAUACCCUUGUAGUC